rnacentral:rRNA from 1 species
CAGCAGCCGCGGGAAUACGAAGGGGGCUAGCGUUGUUCGGAAUCACUGGGCGUAAAGGGUGCGUAGGCGGGCAUUUAAGUCAGGGGUGAAAUCCCGAGGCUCAACCUCGGAACUGCCCUUGAUACUGGGUGUCUUGAGUCCGGAAGAGGUGAGUGGAACUGCGAGUGUAGAGGUGAAAUUCGUAGAUAUUCGCAAGAACACCGGUGGCGAAGGCGGCUCACUGGUCCGGAACUGACGCUGAGGCACGACAGCGUGGGGAGCAAACAGGAUUAGAUACCCGCGUAGUCCCUGUCUCUUAUAC